rnacentral:rRNA from 1 species
GGAUUAGAUACCCUGGUAGUCCACGCCGUAAACGAUGAGUGCUAGAUAUCAGAGGUUUAACCUUUGGUGUCAAAGCUAACGCAUUAAGCACUCCGCCUGGGGACUACGGUCGCAAGAUUAAAACUCAAAGGAAUUGACGGGGGCCCGCACAAGCGGUGGAGUAUGCGGUUUAAUUCGAAGCAACGCGAAGAACCUUACCAGCCCUUGACAUGGUAGUUAUCGGAUUCAGAGAUGAAUCUUUCAGUUCGGCUGGACUACACACAGGUGCUGCACGGCUGUCGUCAGCUCGUGCCG